GACAGAGGGUGCAAACGUUGCUCGGAAUUACUGGGCGUAAAGCGUGCGCAGGCGGUGAUGUAAGACAGAUGUGAAAUCCCCGGGCUCAACCUGGGAACUGCAUUUGUGACUGCAUCGCUGGAGUGCGGCAGAGGGGGAUGGAAUUCCGCGUGUAGCAGUGAAAUGCGUAGAUAUGCGGAGGAACACCGAUGGCGAAGGCAAUCCCCUGGGCCUGCACUGACGCUCAUGCACGAAAGCGUGGGGAGCAAACAGG
rnacentral:rRNA from 1 species